UUGAUUAGUUCCAUUCUUAACAAGAUCUAGUAUUAAACACUUUAUCUGUAGUUUUUUCUAUUCAUUUACACAUUCCUUUGUAUACCGUGAAUCGAAUAAUUUUCAGGUAAAGAAGCUCUACACCCAAAGGGAAGAUUAAAUCAAAUAGUAUAUAAAGAUCUAAUGGGAGAGUGACAUAGUUAAAUUGGAAGAGAUUGUCCACGUUGCACUCAUAUUUAGACAUUUUAGGUGACUGUUGAUUUUUUUGAUUUUUUGUGGAAUUGAAUUUGCCACUAAACAUUAGUAGUAAGGCACCACAGGAAAUUUUAUGAAUCUGGUGACAUUAGUACUAAGGCGUUUUUCUUGUACCAAAGAUCAGCUAUUUGAAACCGGUGGUGUCAUACAUACAUGCUUAUAAGCAAAUGAUUGAUUAAGUUUGUCAUUUUCAUGCCUCUAAUUAUAUUUGAGUUGUAUUUUGUUGGAUUAUUUUAUAACCGAUACUUAGUUAUGUUGUACUUCACGUCACUUAUUUCUUAUGUAUUGUUUGAUUUUAUGAUUAAUAAAAAUUUGUUU
rnacentral:lncRNA from 1 species